rnacentral:rRNA from 1 species
UGGGGAAUAUUGGACUAUGGGCGAAAGCCUGAUCCAGCCAUGCCGCGUGUGUGAAGAAGGUCUUCGGAUUGUAAAGCACUUUAAGUUGGGAGGAAGGGCAGUAAGCGAAUACCUUGCUGUUUUGACGUUACCGACAGAAUAAGCACCGGCUAACUCUGUGCCAGCAGCCGCGGUAAUACAGAGGGUGCAAGCGUUAAUCGGAAUUACUGGGCGUAAAGCGCGCGUAGGUGGUUCGUUAAGUUGAAUGUGAAAGCCCCGGGCUCAACCUGGGAACUGCAUCCAAAACUGGCGAGCUAGAGUAGGGCAGAGGGUGGUGGAAUUUCCUGUGUAGCGGUGAAAUGCGUAGAUAUAGGAAGGAACACCAGUGGCGAAGGCGACCACCUGGGCUCAUACUGACACUGAGGUGCGAAAGCGUGGGGAGCAAACAGG